rnacentral:tRNA from 4 species
GUGGUUGUAGCUCAGUUGGUUAGAGCGCUGGAUUGUGGUUCCAGAGGUCGCCGGUUCGAGCCCGGUCUUCCACCCA